rnacentral:rRNA from 1 species
AAUGGACGAAAGUCUGACCGAGCAACGCCGCGUGAGUGAAGAAGGUUUUCGGAUCGUAAAACUCUGUUGUUAGAGAAGAACAAGGAUGAGAGUAACUGUUCAUCCCUUGACGGUAUCUAACCAGAAAGCCACGGCUAACUACGUGCCAGCAGCCGCGGUAAUACGUAGNGUGGCAAGCGUUGUCCGGAUUUAUUGGGCGUAAAGCGAGCGCAGGCGGUUUCUUAAGUCUGAUGUGAAAGCCCCCGGCUCAACCGGGGAGGGUCAUUGGAAACUGGGAGACUUGAGUGCAGAAGAGGAGAGUGGAAUUCCAUGUGUAGCGGUGAAAUGCGUAGAUAUAUGGAGGAACACCAGUGGCGAAGGCGGCUCUCUGGUCUGUAACUGACGCUGAGGCUCGAAAGCGUGGGGAGCAAACAGGAUUAGAUACCCUGGUAGUCCACGCCGUAAACGAUGAGUGCUAAGUGUUGGAGGGUUUCCGCCCUUCAGUGCUGCAGCUAACGCAUNAAGCACUCCGCCUGGGGAGUACGACCGCAAGGUUGAAACUCAAAGGAAUUGACGGGGGCCCGCACAAGCNGUGGAGCAUGUGGU